rnacentral:rRNA from 1 species
CAGCCCCCUGUAACGAAAGGGAAUCGGGUUAA